rnacentral:rRNA from 1 species
UACGUAGGUGGCAAGCGUUGUCCGGAUUUAUUGGGUUUAAAGGGUGCGUAGGCGGUUUUGUAAGUCAGUGGUGAAAUACUCUAGCUUAACUAGAGGGGGUGCCCAAUGAUACUGCGGAACUUGAGUACAGAUGAGGUAGGCGGAAUUGACGGUGUAGCGGUGAAAUGCAUAGAUAUCAUCUGGAACGCCAAUGGUGCAGACAGGCUGCUGGGAAUGAACUGACGCUGAGGCACGAAAGCCAGGGGAGCGAACGGG